UACGGAGGAUGCGAGCGUUAUCCGGAUUUAUUGGGUUUAAAGGGUGCGUAGGCGGACCGUUAAGUCAGCGGUGAAAGUUUGGCGCUUAACGUCAAAAUUGCCAUUGAUACUGACGGACUUGAGUGUAUUUGAGGUAGGCGGAAUGUGUGGUGUAGCGGUGAAAUGCAUAGAUAUCACACAGAACACCGAUUGCGAAGGCAGCUUACUAAGAUACUACUGACGCUGAGGCACGAAAGUGUGGGGAUCGAAC
rnacentral:rRNA from 1 species